UGGGGAAUAUUGCACAAUGGGCGCAAGCCUGAUGCAGCCAUGCCGCGUGUAUGAAGAAGGCCUUCGGGUUGUAAAGUACUUUCAGCGAGGAGGAAGGCGUUGUGGUUAAUAACCGCAGCGAUUGACGUUACUCGCAGAAGAAGCACCGGCUAACUCCGUGCCAGCAGCCGCGGUAAUACGGAGGGUGCAAGCGUUAAUCGGAAUUACUGGGCGUAAAGCGCACGCAGGCGGUCUGUCAAGUCGGAUGUGAAAUCCCCGGGCUCAACCUGGGAACUGCAUCCGAAACUGGCAGGCUAGAGUCUUGUAGAGGGGGGUAGAAUUCCAGGUGUAGCGGUGAAAUGCGUAGAGAUCUGGAGGAAUACCGGUGGCGAAGGCGGUCCCCUGGACAAAGACUGACGCUCAGGUGCGAAAGCGUGGGGAGCAAACA
rnacentral:rRNA from 1 species